rnacentral:rRNA from 1 species
GAUGUGGGGGAUAACCAUUGGAAACGAUGGGCUAAAUAGCCGCAUAAUAGCCUUCGGGCUCAAAGAGGGGGGACCUUCGGCCGUCUCGCGUGCAGGAUAUGCCCAGGUGGGAUUACGCUAGGUUGGUGAGGUAAGGGCUCACCAAGGCAACGAUCCCUAGCUGGUCUGAGAGGAUGAUCAGCCACACUGGAACUGAGACACGGUCCAGACUCCUACGGGAGGCAGCAGUGGGGAAUAUUGCACAAUGGGCGCAAGCCUGAUGCAGCCAUGCCGCGUGUAUGAAGAAGGCCUUCGGGUUGUAAAGUACUUUCAGCAGUGAGGAAGGUUCAUGCGUUAAUAGCGUAUGGAUUUGACGUUAGCUGCAGAAGAAGCACCGGCUAACUCCGUG